UGGUCGGCAGUGAUCAGAAGGUCC
rnacentral:piRNA from 2 species